UACUUUUCGUAUUACCGCGCAAUCAAGUUGCCCACAACGGGACUGCAGCAUUGCAGUAGAAACCCCAUCAAACGUGUAAGUGAAAUGAGCGAACAAUAACCCUGAAAUUAUAAAGUCGUAUUAUCUUGUUUAAAUCAACUCAUACCUUUUUCAUAUAAGAAUAUCGUAUUGUUUCAGGAUAACAGAAACAAUUUCAGGGAAACUUGAAAGGUUUAUGAUAAACGCAGUAUGCAAUUUUAGAACAACGAGAAUUAAAAAACUUUACAUUUAAGCCAAGAAGUAUUAAGUUUAAAAUACACAAGUUGAAGGAGCAAUUAAUCAGCACAAUGUAAUUUGAUCUUUUUUGUUCGUAAAAUUACCGUUUGCGGUAAUCACCAAUCUGUGAUGACAACGCCGAAAAGCAGCUUACAUAAUAACACACACUUUUCAGCUCACUGUACUCCUUUGUAGUCAAUGUAAUAUAAUGGAAUUUCGCCGCCUCCUACGGAUAUUCAAGCAUAUCGCAUAUGCCAUCGAAAACUAAAGAAAAACGCCUUCUUCUUGAAGCUUCCUGCAUAGAGUGAUAAAAAACCUUCUAAAACUUCUUUGCCCCUAAAGUAAGCCUCUUGUUUCUGUCAAGCUUCCUCAAUUAUUGCACUCAUUGUUUUAACUGUAAUCUUUCACGCUUAUGUUUGAUACUUGGUAUCUUGUUUUCGAAAGAAAAACUUAUUGUAACAUACUUUAAGACAGCAAUUCCUCAUUCAGUGAGUAAAAACGCGUUUUCUACCGAAUUCCUAUUGACACUGGGCAUUUGUUUGGCAUUUGUUUUUGGAAGCCUAAUCAUACGUGUAAGAAGUAUUUUUACGAUAUUGUAAAAGAAUAAGAGAGGUGUAGUGAUGUUUCUGUUAGAUAUCCAUAAAUCUCAGUAUAGUCCGUCAUAUAUUCGGCUGACCAACCAACCUUCCCAACUUUCCUU